rnacentral:lncRNA from 1 species
NNNNNNNNNNNNNNNNNNNNNNNNNNNNNNNNNNNNNNNNNNNNNNNNNNNNNCAUGGUAGAGGAGGGCAAGAAGGUGGCUCGGACCUCCUUGCAGGCCUCCUUGGACAUUGCAGACUCAGCUGCGAGAACCCUGGCUUCGGGUAUCGCUAUGCGUAGGAUUUCCUGGCUUCAGGUUUCGGGGUUGCCUCCGGAGCUGCAGCAAACCCUACAAGAUCUGCCUUUUGAGGGUCAUGGAUUGUUCUCAGAUAAGACGGACUCUCGCCUGCAGAGCCUCAAGGACUCGAGAACAAUCAUGCGCUCCCUGGGGAUGCAUGUUGUGGGCCCCCAGCGCAGGCCAUUUAGGCCGCAGCCUCAGCGCUUCUACCCCCCCCCGCCUCGUCAGAGACAGGACUCGGCCCGGAGGCGAGGGCGAGGGGGAAGAAGAAGGUGGACCGGCCCUCAACCCGGCCAGAACCAGGGGCCACCUCGACCACCUUCAGGCCCCAGGCAGAACUUUUGAAGGUGCGGUCGAGGACGGCGCCCCAGUCAUCCCCCAGGAUCCAGCCCACUCCUUUCGGGAUCGCCUUUCCCAUUUCCACCGUGCUUGGUCCCUUAUAACUUCGGACCGUUGGGUCCUCCGCACGGUGGAGAGGGGAUACGCUAUCCAGUUUUCUUCAUUCCCCCCCUCCUCCCCCCCUUCCCCGUCCCUCUUCAGGGACCCUUCUCACGAGCAACUUCUUAUUCAGGAGGUUUCUACGCUCCUCGCUAUGGGGGCCAUAGAGGAGGUUCCAGCGGAGUUAAAGGGCAGGGGAUUCUAUUCCCGUUACUUCCUCAUUCCCAAGUCCAAAGGAGGUCUGCGACCCAUCUUGGACUUGCGCGGACUCAACAAAUUCGUAGUAAAGUUGAAGUUCCGCAUGGUCUCUCUGGGGGCCAUUAUCCCUUCCCUCGAUCCUGGAGACUGGUUCGCCGCCCUCGACAUGAAAGACGCAUACUUCCACAUUGCAAUCUACCCGCCUCACAGACGCUUCCUGCGAUUCGUGGUAAACAGGGUGCACUACCAAUUUGCAGUCCUUCCCUUCGGCCUAUCCUCGGCCCCACGGGUGUUCACGAAAUGUAUGGCUGUCGUGGCAGCGUGCCUUCGUCGGCAAGGGAUACAGGUGUUCCCGUACCUAGACGACUGGCUGGUACGCGGUCGCACCAAGGAACAAGUUCGCGAUCACGUCCACAUAAUAGUGCGCACAUUCAACAAGUUGGGUAUCCUACUCAACAAGGACAAAUCCACUCUAGAACCUACCCAGAGAAUAGAAUUCAUCGGUGCGGUUCUAGACUCCAGACGCGCACAAGCCAUCCUGCCAGACAAUCGCUUUUGCACCAUCACGAGCCUCAUUCAAGGACUCAAGGCCUUCCCAACUACCACGGUGAGGUCGUGCCUUACCCUCCUGGGUCACAUGGCUUCCUGCACGUACGUAACCAGGCAUGCCAGACUUCGGCUUCGCCCACUCCAGACC